GAUGAGAACGUAGCGAAAUGCGAUAAGUAAUGUGAAUUGCAGAAUUCAGUGAAUCAUCGAAUCUUUGAACGCACCUUGCACCCUUUGGCUAUUCCGAAGGGUAUGCCUGUUUGAGUAUCAUGAACACCUCAACUCUCAUGGUUUGCCAUGAUGAGCUUGGACUUUGGGGGUCUUGCUGGCCUGUGGUCAGCUCCUCUCAAAUGGAUUAGCUUGCCAGUGUUUGGUGGCAUCACAGGUGUGAUAACUAUCUACGCUUGUGGUUUUCCACCAGGUAACCUUCAGCAAUGGGGGUUCGCUGGGGCUCAUAAAUGUCUCUCCUCAGUGAGGACAGCUCUUUGAACGUUUGAUCUCAAAUCAGGUAGGACUACCCGCUGAACUUAAGCAUAUCAAUAAGCGGAGGA
rnacentral:misc_RNA from 1 species